rnacentral:rRNA from 1 species
GACGAACGCUGGCGGCGUGCUUAACACAUGCAAGUCGAACGAAGAGCGAUGGAAGCUUGCUUCUAACAGUUUUAGUGGCGAACGGGUGAGUAACGUGUAAUCAACCUGCCCUUUAGAGGGGGACAACAGUUGGAAACGACUGCUAAUACCGCAUACGAUCUAACCUCGGCAUCGAGGAUAGAUGCAAGGUGGCCUCUACAUGUUAGCCAUCACUGAAGGUGGGGAGUGCGUCUGAUUAGCUAGUAGGAGGGGUAACGGCCCACCAAGGGGAUGAUCAGUAGCCGGUCUGGGAAGAUGGACGGCCACAUUGGGACUGAGACACGGGCCAGACUCCUACGGGGGGCAGCAGUGGGGAAUCUUCCGCAAUGGACGGAAGUCUGACGGAGCAACGCCGCGUGAGUGAUGACGGCCUUCGGGUUGUAAAGCUCUGUUAAUCGGGACGAAAGGCCUUCUUGCGAAUAGUUAGAAGGAUUGACGGUACCGGAAUAGAAAGCCACGGCUAACUACGUG